rnacentral:rRNA from 1 species
AGAACGAACGCUGGCGGCAGGCUUAACACAUGCAAGUCGAACGGGCGUAGCAAUACGUCAGUGGCAGACGGGUGAGUAACACGUGGGAACCUUCCUAGGGGUACGGAACAACUCAGGGAAACUUGAGCUAAUACCGUAUACGUCCGUGAGGAGAAAGAUUCAUCGCCCCUAGACGGGCCCGCGUCGGAUUAGGUAGUUGGUGGGGUAAACGGCCUACCAAGCCUACGAUCCGUAGCUGAUCUGAGAGGAUGAUCAGCCACACUGGGACUGAGACACGGCCAGACUCCUACGGGAGGCAGCAGUGGGGAAUCUUGGACAAUGGGCGCAAGCCUGAUCCAGCCAUGCCGCGUGAGUGAAGAAGGCCUUAGGGUUGAAAGCUCUUUUACCAGGGACGAUAAUGACGGUACCUGGAGAAUAAGACCCCGGCAAAACUUCGUGCCGAGCAGCCGACGGU